GGGGCUAUAGCUCAGUUGGUAGAGUGCCUGGAUCGCACCCAGGAGGUCGCCGGUUCGAAUCCGGCUAGCUCCA
rnacentral:tRNA from 1 species